UACAGAGGUCCCAAGCGUUGUUCGGAUUCACUGGGCGUAAAGGGUGCAUAGGCGGUCGGGUAAGUCUGAUGUGAAAUCUCACAGCUUAACUGUGAAACUGCAUUGGAUACUAUCCGGCUCGAGGAAUGGAGGGGAGACUGGAAUACUUGGUGUAGCAGUGAAAUGCGUAGAUAUCAAGUGGAACACCAGUGGCGAAGGCGAGUCUCUGGACAUUUCCUGACGCUGAGGCACGAAAGCCAGGGGAGCAAACGGG
rnacentral:rRNA from 1 species